UAGGGAAUCUUCCGCAAUGGACGCAAGUCUGACGGAGCAACGCCGCGUGAGUGAAGAAGGUUUUCGGAUCGUAAAACUCUGUUGUAAGAGAAGAACAAAUUGUAGAGUAACUGCUACAGUCUUGACGGUAUCUUACCAGAAAGCCACGGCUAACUACGUGCCAGCAGCCGCGGUAAUACGUAGGUGGCAAGCGUUGUCCGGAUUUAUUGGGCGUAAAGGGGGCGCAGGCGGAAAUGCAAGUCAGGUGUAAAAGGCAGUAGCUUAACUACUGUAAGCAUUUGAAACUGCAUAUCUUGAGAAGAGUAGAGGUAAGUGGAAUUUUUAGUGUAGCGGUGAAAUGCGUAGAUAUUAAAAAGAAUACCGGUGGCGAAGGCGACUUACUGGGCUCAUUCUGACGCUGAGGAACGAAAGCGUGGGUAGCAAACAGG
rnacentral:rRNA from 1 species